rnacentral:rRNA from 1 species
GCAGCCGCGGUAAUACGGAGGAUGCGAGCGUUAUCCGGAUUUAUUGGGUUUAAAGGGAGCGUAGGUGGUCCGUUAAGCCAGCUGUGAAAUACUGUAGCUCAACUACAGCCGUGCAGUUGGAACUGGCAGACUUGAGUGCACAAGAGGAUGGUGGAAUUCAUGGUGUAGCGGUGAAAUGUUUAGAUAUCAUGAAGAACUCCGAUUGCGAAGGCAGCCGUCUGGGGUGCAACUGACACUGAUGCUCGAAAGUGUGGGUAUCGAACAGGAUUAGAUACCCC